UGCAGCAAACAAAGUUUUUUUUCUCUCAAAUCCAAUGUGGCAAUAUUCAAAUAAUUACAUUCAGCCAAAACAGGAAGAAAGUAUUAAAAAGAAGAGGGAAUAAGAAAGAAAGAGAGAGAGAGGAUUUCAAUUCAGAAGGAGGAGAGGGUUGAGUUUGAGUGUUAGAUGUGGGUGGAUGUGGGUGGUGGUACAUGCAUCCCAGGUAGAAUGUGGAUGGGACAAUACAUUCAUUUACAGUCAUCUUCCGUAUUUCCUCGUACCCUGUUAGCCCAUAGUGCUGCGAUGCCUCUCCAGGGUGAGUUGUAUGGCUUUGCUCUCUGAACUCACACAAGCCUCCUCUCAUUUCAGAGUGCGCGCGUCGCCGUGUGCACCCAAACGCCCACCCCCGAGGAUUUGUGGAACAUUUUAAUUAAAACAGCAGAGGCUAAUGUGGGUUAAACAUAGACCAUCUCUGCCUGGGAAGAUUCCACUCUCUGUGUUCCUGCAGCACUUUUCACGCUCUCUGUCUCUCUUGUGUUUUUCAGCUCUCGUCCUGAUAUCCACAGGCGGGUGGGGCUGUGGCGCGGAGUGAAAGCGAGCCGUCCCCAGGCCCUUCAGCUUUGCUCUAAAAUGGUAAGUAGGUUAUAAGGGGACAGGGGCACCAACGCCAACCGAAUAUUCAUACACCCCCCACCCGCCUUCCCUGCGUUGACACUGUCCAACAGAUGCUUUGAUGUCUUUUUAUAGCGCUGGGUUCUCCCGCCACUAUCACACACGUACACACAGAAUCUGGAACACUUCUCUCUAAUAAGUAUCCAAUGUCAGUGCUUGCCUGAAGCAACAAACGAAAACACACUGCCCAGAGACACACGCACACACACAGAGGAAUAUGUUUCACUGCAAAGACAUCUGUCAGACUCAGAGACAGCAGAGUGGUCUUUUGUUAGUGGCCCACAAAAUAUUGUUCACUUCAAAACAGAGAGCGUGGAAGUAAAAAAAACUGUGAGGAGUUUUCUGGGACAGCCAACCUCGAAAGAUGUCACUUAGAAAACAGGUUGUGGUGGUGGUGAGGAGAGGCAGUGGGGGGAGGGUGACGACAGAGUGAAGGGGAAAACGACAGACAGGAGAGACACGCAUCUCCUGAUCACCAGGCGGUUUUAUAAUCGCUAGCUAAUUGCCUGUCGGCAAAGGUGGCACUCAGAUGUCCUCUUAGUUACGUAAUGACACCCCUGUGGGGAUAGAUGGAGGGCAAGAGAGAGAGAAUGGGGAGGGGGGGAAAGGGACAAAAGGAAGGUGGGAAGAGAGGAGAGGAGACAGGAAAUGACAGGACGGCUACAGCAGGAUGGAAACGGGACACAUUCAUCAGGCUGUCUGCGUGCGUGUCAGUGGGAAAUCUGCUAUUUUUUUACUUUUUAUAUGGACAAAACACUGCCAGGAGGACAGAAAAGAUGAAGAAAUUCAGAAAAAUGCCACUUCUACACAGGAAAAGGUUAAUGACUGAAGUCUCUAAUAAUAAAACACACUUGUGUGGAUGUGUGUGAGACAGAAUAAGACAGCUGGGUGAAUGAAAAAUGCAUCACCUUCAGUC
ensembl:lncRNA